rnacentral:rRNA from 1 species
CCUACGGGAGGCAGCAGUGGGGAAUAUUGGGCAAUGGGCGCAAGCCUGACCCAGCAACGCCGCGUGAAGGAAGAAGGCUCUCGGGUUGUAAACUUCUUUUAUCAGGGACGAAGCAAGUGACGGUACCUGAUGAAUAAGCCACGGCUAACUACGUGCCAGCAGCCGCGGUAAUACGUAGGUGGCAAGCGUUAUCCGGAUUUACUGGGUGUAAAGGGCGUGUAGGCGGGAAAGCAAGUCAGAUGUGAAAACCAUGGGCUCAAACUGUGGCCUGCAUUUGAACCUGUUUUUCUUGAGUACUGGAGAGGCAGAGGGAAGUCCUAGUGUAGCGGUGAAAGGCGUAGAUAUUAGGAGGAACACCAGUGGCGAAGGCGGUCUGCUGGACAGCAACUGACGCUGAGGCGCGAAAGCGUGGGGAGCAAACAGGAUUAGAUACCCGAGUAGUC